rnacentral:rRNA from 1 species
UACGUAGGGUGCAAGCGUUGUCCGGAAUUAUUGGACGUAAAGAGCUUGUAGGCGGUUUGUCGCGUCUGCUGUGAAAUUUCGGGGCUCAACCCCGAACUUGCAGUGGGUACGGGCAGACUAGAGUGUGGUAGGGGAGACUGGAAUUCCUGGUGUAGCGGUGAAAUGCGCAGAUAUCAGGAGGAACACCGAUGGCGAAGGCAGGUCUCUGGGCCACUACUGACGCUGAGAAGCGAAAGCAUGGGGAGCGAACAGG